CGGCAGGAUGUUGUUGCUCGAACCUCAGCGCUCGGAGCUCGGAACCCACAUCUGCCCCAGCUCUUCAGAGAGACAGCGAGCUGCCAGAGCCGGGGAAAGAGAAACCACAGAGAGAGACGCCACACAUCAAAGCCGCCCAGCGCCAAGACCACCAGAGCCGGGGACGCGGCAGGGCAGGGCGGAGCUGUGCCUGGAUCGUAGGGACCUGCUCCAAGAGUGGUGCAGCGGGACAGAUGAGGGGGCGCUUAGCACCCGGGUGUCCGUGCCUGCCGUGUGGCCGCUUUCCUCACCUUCUUGAGUAACGUUGUGUGGGCAGCUGUGUAAGGCACUUUUUCACAUAUUUGCAACCCAUCUGCACAUGUGAAAGAAAGACAGAAAGAAGAAAAAGGAAGGAAGGAGAAAAAGAAAGAAAUGAAGUAGAAAAGAAGGAAGAAAGAAAAAAGAAGGAAGGAAAAGAAAGAAAAAUUUAGCGAUGUCAAGAGUUGUCAUCUUGACAGCCCUGGUAGAUGAAGGAUACUCUUCGUCCACUGUUUCCCAGCUCAUUGCUUGUCAAAAUGAGAUCUCUCUGGGGUCUACAUAAGGGACAUUUGGGGGGCCAAUACAUCUCCAUGGUCAGCUCUUGCCCUCGCCACUGAGACUGCCAAUUAUUUUUCCUGUUGGUAGUAUAGAAAUAAUUGUAUCAAUUAUAUAAAUGUUACUUAUUUCUGUA